CCAUAACAAGCCAUGAAGCCUGGCAGCCAGGACUCCUGGGUUCUAUCCCCAGCUCUGGGAGGGGAGUGAAGGCUAUGGGUUAGAGCAGUGGGGGGCUGGGAGCCAGGACUCCUGGGUUCUCUCCCCAGCUCUGGGAGGGGAGUGGGGGCUAUGGGUUAGAGCAGUGGGGGGCUGGGAGCCAGGACUCCUGGGUUCUCUCCCCAGCUCUGGGAGGGGAGUGAAGGCUAGUGGGUUAGAGCAGUGGGGGGCU